rnacentral:misc_RNA from 1 species
GAUGAAGAACGCAGCGAAAUGCGAUAAGUAAUGUGAAUUGCAGAAUUCAGUGAAUCAUCGAAUCUUUGAACGCACAUUGCGCCCGCUAGUAUUCUGGCGGGCAUGCCUGUCCGAGCGUCAUUUCAACCCUCAAGCCCCCGGGCUUGGUGUUGGGGAUCGGCGAGCCUCCGCGCCCGCCGUCCCCUAAAUCUAGUGGCGGUCUCGCUGUAGCUUCCUCUGCGUAGUAGCACACCUCGCACUGGGAAACAGCGCGGCCACGCCGUUAAACCCCCAACAUCUGAACGUUUGACCUCGGAUCAGGUAGGAAUACCCGCUGAACUUAAGCAUAUCAAUAAGCGGAGGA